rnacentral:rRNA from 1 species
UACGGGGGGGGCAAGCGUUGUUCGGAAUUACUGGGCGUAAAGGGCUCGUAGGUGGCCAACUAAGUCAGACGUGAAAUCCCACGGCUUAACCGGGGAACUGCGUCUGAUACUGGAUGGCUUGAGUGUGGGAGAGGGAUGCGGAAUUCCAGGUGUAGCGGUGAAAUGCGUAGAUAUCUGGAGGAACACCGGUGGCGAAGGCGGCAUCCUGGACCACGACUGACGCUGAGUGAGCGAAAGCCAGGGGAGCAAACGGG